UUUUGCCUGCCCAUGGAUUCAGCAGCAGUUCGAAAGAGACAACCUUACGAACUGAAACAUCUUAGUAGCCAGAGGAAAA